UUGGAGGGCAAGUCUGGUGCCAGCAGCCGCGGUAAUUCCAGCUCCAAUAGCGUAUAUUAAAGUUGUUGCAGUUAAAAAGCUCGUAGUUGAACUUCGGGGUCUACCCAUUGGUCAGGCUUAAUUGUCCGCACUGGUGUGUUGGGUUCCUACCUUCUGAAUAACCGGCAUGCCAUUAAUUUGGUGCGCCGGGGAAGCAGGACUGUUACCUUGAAAAAAUUAGAGUGCUUAAAGCAGGCUAUCGCCUGAAUACAUUAGCAUGGAAUAAUGAAAUAGGACGGCAUGGUUCUAUUUUGUUGGUUUCUAGGAUCACCGUAAUGAUUAAUAGGGAUAGUUGGGGGCAUUAGUAUUCAAUUGUCAGAGGUGAAAUUCUUGGAUUUAUUGAAGACUAACUACUGCGAAAGCAUUUGCCAAGGAUGUUUUCAUUAAUCAAGAACGAAAGUUAGGGGAUCGAAGACGAUCAGAUACCGUCGUAGUCUUAACCAUAAACUAUGCCGACUAGGGAUCGGACGAAGUUAAUUUUAUAAUGACGCGUUCGGCGCCUUACGGGAAAC
rnacentral:rRNA from 1 species